UUUUCCUACUCCCUCUCAUUUCCUGUAUUUACACUGCUUUCUCUGUACUUCCUUCUAAAUUUCUUUGCUUACUGUAGCAGCCCUUGCCUUUUCUCUUGCAGCAACAGCCCAGGCUGCUCCAAGGAUUAUUACUGGGCCUGCGCCUGUUCUCCCACCAGCUGCCCUGCGCACCCCGACGCCAGCUGGCCCUACCAUAAUGCCUUUGAUCAGACAAAUACAGACCGCGGUCAUGCCAAAUGGAACUCCUCACCCCACUGCUGCAAUAGUUCCUCCGGGGCCUGAAGCUGGUUUAAUCUACACACCCUACGAAUACCCCUACACGUUGGCACCAGCUACGUCAAUCCUUGAGUACCCUAUUGAACCUAGCGGCGUAUUAGAGUGGAUUGAAAUGCCAGUCAUGCCUGAUAUUUCAGCCCAUUGACUUGCGGACGAAGGACUAGAGCGCAGCAGCUGUUGUAACACGACCAGUCACUGUGGAGCAGGCUGCUUCCAUGCUGCCCUUUGUGUUACAGACAGAAUCUGAAUCCUCUUUCCUUGAAUGGUGUAUGACCUUGGUGCUGCUUGCAUGCUCUUGACUUGUAGGACUUUGAUCUUUUAAGGUGUUUUUUUCCAGCAUUCAUAUUGACUCACAAAAUUUGAAAGCCUUUAAUGAACCCGGACAAAGAUUUAAACUUGAAAAUUCAUUGUUCUAUUAAAGCCACAACAUUGUAUGUUAUCUGUGUGUGUGCAUGCACUCAAGUGCCUUCUGUUUCAUGAGCAGAUACAUUUUAUUGUACAUGUCUUCGGUUAUCUCUAAACAUUGUAUAAAGUAUUCCAGGUCAGAAUUAUACCAUAGAACUGUUUAUGAAAGGCUUGUUUCUGUUGCACAUUUCUUGAAGCAUUUUUAAAAUAACAUGUAACAUAUAACCUG